rnacentral:rRNA from 1 species
CUUGGUCAUUUAGAGGAAGUAAAAGUCGUAACAAGGUUUCCGUAGGUGAACCUGCGGAAGGAUCAUUAGUGAAACUUCAAAGUCGGCUCGUUUACUGUGCUGGUGGAGACACAUGUGCACGUUGCGAGUCGCAAAUCCACACACCUGUGCAUCUAUGACUCUGAGUGCCGCUUUGCAUGGCCUUGACUGGCCUGGCGCUCGAGUACUUUCACACACUCUCGAAUGUAACGGAAUGUCUAUUGUGCAUAAUGUACAAAUGAAACAACUUUCAACAACGGAUCUCUUGGCUCUCGCAUCGAUGAAGAACGCAGCGAAAUGCGAUAAGUAAUGUGAAUUGCAGAAUUCAGUGAAUCAUCGAAUCUUUGAACGCACCUUGCACCCUUUGGUAUUCCGAAGGGUACGCCCGUUUGAGUGUCAUUGUAAUCUCACUACAAUCGACUUUCUGGUCGUUUUGUAUGUGGACUUGGACGCUGCCGUGGAUUCAACGGCUCGUCUGAAAUGCCUGAGUGUACCCCGCCUUGCGGCGUAUUCGGUGUGAUACAUCUUCACCGGAGUUGAUCUUUUUUGAAUCGCGUCUGUUUGGUGUGGCUCUAUGCUUCCAACAGUCCCUUCAUGGGACAAUCUCUGACAAUUUGACCUCAAAUCGGGUGGGACUACCCGCUGAACUUAAGCAUAUCAAUAAGCGGAGGA